AUUGAACGCUGGCGGCAGGCCUAACACAUGCAAGUCGAGCGAGCGGCGGACGGGUGAGUAAUGUAUGGGGACUGCCCGAUAGAGGGGGAUAACUACUGGAAACGGUGGCUAAUACCGCAUACUAUCGGAUAACCCAUAUGGGAUUAGCUAGUAGGUGGGGUAAAGGCUCACCUAGGCGACGAUCUCUAGCUGGUCUGAGAGGAUGAUCAGCCACACGGGGACGGAGACACGGCCAAGACUCCUACGGAGGCAGCAGUGGGGAAUAUUGAAAAAGGGGGGCAAGCCGGAUGCAGCCAUGCCGGGUGAAGGAAGAAGGCCUUAGGGUGGGAAAGUACUUUAAGCGGGGAGGCGUUACCCGAAGAAGAAGCCCCGGCUAACUCCGUGCCAGCAGCCGCGGUAAUAC
rnacentral:rRNA from 1 species